rnacentral:rRNA from 1 species
CCUACGGGUGGCAGCAGUGGGGAAUAUUGGACAAUGGGGGCAACCCUGAUCCAGCCAUGCCGCGUGUGUGAAGAAGGCCCUCGGGUUGUAAAGCACUUUCAGUGAGGAAGAACGCCUGGUGGUUAAUACCCAUCAGGAAAGACAUCACUCACAGAAGAAGCACCGGCUAACUCCGUGCCAGCAGCCGCGGUAAUACGGAGGUUGCGAGCGUUAAUCGGAAUUACUGGGCGUAAAGCGCGCGUAGGUGGCUUGAUAAGCCGGUUGUGAAAGCCCCGGGCUCAACCUGGGAACGGCAUCCGGAACUGUCAAGCUAGAGUGCAGGAGAGGAAGGUAGAAUUCCCGGUGUAGCGGUGAAAUGCGUAGAGAUCGGGAGGAAUACCAGUGGCGAAGGCGGCCUUCUGGACUGACACUGACACUGAGGUGCGAAAGCGUGGGUAGCAAACAGGAUUAGAUACCCCAGUAGUC